GAUGAACGCUGGCGGCGUGCCUAACACAUGCAAGUCGAACGAAGCUUGACGGAUGAUUUCUUCGGAAUGAAACCAGAUAUGACUUAGUGGCGGACGGGUGAGUAACACGUGAGCAACCUGCCUUUCAGAGGGGGAUAACGGCUGGAAACGGUCGCUAAUACCGCAUGAUGUGUUCGGAUGGCAUCAUCUGAACAUCAAAGAUUUAUCGCUGAAAGAUGGGCUCGCGUCUGAUUAGAUAGUUGGUGGGGUAACGGCCUACCAAGUCUACGAUCAGUAGCCGGAAUGAGGGGUUGAACGGCACAAUUGGGACUGGGAUACGGCCCAGGCCCCCACGGGAGGCAGGAGGGGGGAAUAUUGCAAAAGGGGGAAAACCCUGAUGCAGCAACGCCGGGGGAAGGAUGACGGUUUUCGGAUUGUAAACUUUUUUUUUUAGGGACGAAGACAGUGACGGUAGCUAAGGAAUAAGCAUCGGCUAACUACGU
rnacentral:rRNA from 1 species